rnacentral:rRNA from 1 species
GUGACGCCUUCCUAAAAGGUUAGGCUAUCCACUUCUGGUGCAAUCAACUCCCAUGGUGUGACGGGCGGUGUGUACAAGGCCCGGGAACGUAUUCACCGCGGCAUUCUGAUCCGCGAUUACUAGCGAUUCCUACUUCAUGGAGUCGAGUUGCAGACUCCAAUCUGGACUACGAUAGGCUUUUUGAGAUUCGCAUCACAUCGCUGUGUAGCUGCCCUCUGUACCUACCAUUGUAGCACGUGUGUAGCCCUGGUCGUAAGGGCCAUGAUGACUUGACAUCGUCCCCGCCUUCCUCCAGUUUGUCACUGGCAGUAUCCUUAGAGUUCCCGGCCAAACCGCUGGUAACUAAGGAAAAGGGUUGCGCUCGUUGCGGGACUUAACCCAACAUCUCACGACACGAGCUGACGACAGCCAUGCAGCACCUGUAUUCUAAUUCCCGAAGGCACUCCCGCAUCUCUGCAGGAUUCUAGAUAUGUCAAGACCAGGUAAGGUUCUUCGCGUUGCAUCGAAUUAAACCACAUGCUCCACCGCUUGUGCGGGCCCCCGUCAAUUCAUUUGAGUUUUAACCUUGCGGCCGUACUCCCCAGGCGGUCUACUUAUUGCGUUAGCUGCGUCACUAAGUCCUCAAGGGACCCAACGACUAGUAGACAUCGUUUACGGCGUGGACUACCAGGGUAUCUAAUCCUGUUUGCUACCCACGCUUUCGAGCCUCAGUGUCAGUAUGAUGCCAGGAAGCUGCCUUCGCCAUCGGUAUUCCUUCAGAUCUCUACGCAUUUCACCGCUACACCUGAAAUUCUACUUCCCUCUCACCUACUCUAGCUUAACAGUAUCAGAUGCAGUUCCCAGGUUAAGCCCGGGGAUUUCACAUCUGACUUAUCAAGCCACCUACGCUCGCUUUACGCCCAGUAAUUCCGAUUAACGCUUGCACCCUCUGUAUUACCGCGGCUGCUGGCACAGAGUUAGCCGGUGCUUAUUCUGCAGCUAAUGUCAUCGUCCGUGGGUAUUAACCACGGAGUCUUCUUCACUGCUUAAAGUGCUUUACAACCAAAAGGCCUUCUUCACACACGCGGCAUGGCUGGAUCAGGGUUGCCCCCAUUGUCCAAUAUUCCCCACUGCUGCCUCCCGUAGGAGUCCGGACCUGGU